rnacentral:lncRNA from 1 species
AAUUCUUUCUCUGGGUUUUCAACAUAGCUAUCAGACAAGUUUGGGAGAAGAACUUUUGCAUCAACUUUGCACGAAAGCAUUACGAAACAUCCUUUCGGUGUAACAUUUUUCACAUAUGCCUACAAGUAAAAAGAAAAGGAAAAGAAGAGAGGAACCUCCACAAUAAUUAAUUCGCAGAAUAAGGAAACCCAUCAUCAUUGCAGAUGACAGUAAAAUACUGAAACGCUAAAAUGAAUUUAGUAAUGAGUUCAUCAGUGUACAAUCAGGUCAUAUCCUAUGUGUUAUAUUUUUUUCCUUUUAUAACUGAGAAACCAGUUCAUAUCCUAUAUGUUGAAUGAUUUUAAUGGAAAACAAUGAACAGACAACUAACUUCCUGUGCAUAUACAAGAAUGAGUUUGUUACGACCUCAGCACAUAAUUUAUUAUACAUAUAGAAUAUAAGAGGCAUCUGCAAGCAGUCGCACAAAAAGUUCAGACUUGAGACCGCGUGAAAGACGUUUCAUAUGAAGGAUGCAUAAACCUUUCAUCAGAAAAGUAUAAUGGAAAAAGAAACAAGAAAAAUCAUAUAUGCGAUACAAGGGAAUCAGUUACUUCAAGAUUUUGAUAUUAGUGGGCAGAAAAAGAAAACGUAUCUGAAGGGAGUGUCAUUAGCAUCAAUAUACAUUUUCUAAUCUUCCCACAUAUACAACAUAUCUCUAAUUAAGACGCCAGCCACUGUAAGCAGAAGAGAUUAAUCAAUAAGCAAAGUGGCACUUGAGAAAUUCUGCAUUGGCAUUGUCAGUGACAGCAGAAAGGAGAAGGUUAACUUCAGACAAGUAUGGAGAUGAAAAAGGGACUCUGUACGAGGGGCUAAACAGUUCAUAAGGGACAGCUCAAUGGAAAUAUGUAAUGAAUUUUGUGUGAUCCAGAACACGUAAGCUGAAAUUGGGAAGACAUUAUUUCAGCAACCCUUAGUUUGAGGUCAGUUCAUUGAGGAGAGACUUGGACGUUUAAAUUAAAAAUAACUAAAUGGUUUUGUUUUGUAUUUUAGGGGGAGGGCAUUAGCUGUUAAAUGUUAGCUUCUUUUUGCUAUUAUGCAACUUUGUCUCUAAAUGUGAAAUCUGAUGUUCAAUAUGUAGGGUAUCGGUUGGUUUAUGCCACUUACAGUGAAGGAUUUUAUAGAAAGCUGAAACAUCGAGAAAAACAUAAGUUAGAUGAAUAGCAAUGGAAAUUAUCCUCCUUGUGGGAUUUUGGGCUACUUGAAGAAAUUUGGUAGGACUGGUCAGGAAGGAGCAAACAAUUACCUAGUAGUGAUGUCGAUGAGAUAUUAGGAAGAUCACUUCAUUUGGUCCAAGGGAGGAAGAGAAGCAUAUGAUUUCUCCACCCACUGGAAGAAUACAUCCCUUGGACCUCAUGGAAAGACAAGGUAUUUUACCCAAUCUUCUGAUCUCCAAUCUAGACAAGAGUUACAUAAGAUUCAAUACCAGAUUAUCAUCAAAAUUAACUUAAGACAUCUAUCAGACAAUCUUCUGAUUUCCAAUCUAGAGAAGAGUUACAUAAGAUUCAAUACCAGAUUGUCAUCAAAAUUAACUUAGAGACAUCUUCUGGAAGGAUUUUGGAAAUCCUGCCACCCAAAACACUGCCU